UACGGGGGGGGCAAGCGUUGUUCGGAAUUACUGGGCGUAAAGGGCUCGUAGGUGGUCAACUAAGUCGGACGUGAAAUCCCUCGGCUUAACCGGGGAACUGCGUCUGAUACUGGAUGGCUUGAGUUUGGGAGAGGGAUGCGGAAUUCCAGGUGUAGCGGUGAAAUGCGUAGAUAUCUGGAGGAACACCGAUGGCGAAGGCAGCCCCCUGGGCCGAAGCAC
rnacentral:rRNA from 1 species